AUUGAACGCUGGCGGCAGGCCUAACACAUGCAAGUCGAACGAGUGGCGGAGGGGUGAGUCAUGUCUGGGAAACUGACUGAUGGAGGGGGAUACCUACUGGAAACGGUAGCUAAUACCGCAUACCAUCAGAUUUGCCAAGAUGGGAUUAGCUUGUUGGUGGGGUAACGGCUCACCAAGGCGACGAUCCCUAGCUGGUCUGAGAGGAUGACCAGCCACACUGGAACUGAGACACGGUCCAGACUCCUACGGGAGGCAGCAGUGGGGAAUAUUGCACAAUGGGCGCAAGCCUGACGCAGCCAUGCCGCGUGGAUGAAGAAGGCCUUCGGGUUGUAAAGCACUUUUAGCGGGGAGGCGGUACCCGCAGAGGAAGCCCCGGCUAACUCCGUGCCAGCAGCCGCGGUAAUUC
rnacentral:rRNA from 1 species